rnacentral:rRNA from 1 species
AUGAACGCUGGCGGCGUGCCUAAUACAUGCCCGUCGAGCGAACGGACGAGAAGCUUGCUUCUCUGAUGUUAGCGGCGGACGGGUGAGUAACACGUGGAUAACCUACCUAUAAGACUGGGAUAAUUUCGGGAAACCGGAGCUAAUACCGGAUAAUAUUUUGAACCGCAUGGUUCAAAAGUGAAAGACGGUCUUGCUGUCACUUAUAGAUGGAUCCGCGCUGCAUUAGCUAGUUGGUAAGGUAACGGCUUACCAAGGCAACGAUGCAUAGCCGACCUGAGAGGGUGAUCGGCCACACUGGAACUGAGACACGGUCCAGACUCCUACGGGAGGCAGCAGUAGGGAAUCUUCCGCAAUGGGCGAAAGCCUGACGGAGCAACGCCGCGUGAGUGAUGAAGGUCUUCGGAUCGUAAAACUCUGUUAUUAGGGAAGAACAUAUGUGUAAGUAACUGUGCACAUCUUGACGGUACCUAAUCAGAAAGCCACGGCUAACUACGUG